rnacentral:misc_RNA from 1 species
GAUGAAGAACGUAGCGAAAUGCGAUAAGUAAUGUGAAUUGCAGAAUUCAGUGAAUCAUCGAAUCUUUGAACGCACAUUGCGCCCCCUGGUAUUCCGGGGGGCAUGCCUGUCCGAGCGUCAUUACAACCCUCAAGCUCAGCUUGGUGUUGGGCCCCGCCGCCCCGGCGGGCCCUAAAGUCAGUGGCGGUGCCGUCCGGCUCCGAGCGUAGUAAUUCUUCUCGCUCUGGAGGUCCGGUCGUGUGCUCGCCAGCAACCCCCAAUUUUUUUCAGGUUGACCUCGGAUCAGGUAGGGAUACCCGCUGAACUUAAGCAUCUCAAUAAGCGGAGGA